rnacentral:tRNA from 1 species
AGCCCCAUCGUCUAGCGGUCAAGGAUGGCGGGCUCUGGCCCCGCAGACCUCGGUUCGAAUCCGAGUGGGGCUA